UGAGACCAUUUGUUUUUGUUUCAUAUUUUUUUUUUGGCGUCUUGAAGAUUAAGUACUUUGUAAUGGUGUUUGUGUUGUUAAAGUUUAAGCAUCAUGUUUUCUAAUAUUCUAUUUUUUUGUUCACUUUAUAACUUGUAGAUUGGCAAUGAUCUUUCUCAAUUUGUGGGGCCUCUUAUCUUGAAUCAACUUCUACAGUUAGAAGAUGUUGUUGUGGAUGAGUUAAUGAGGAAGUUCUUCAAAAAUUAUACAAACUGGUGCAAAUUCUUGCCAAGAAAAAGCAACAUUUGGUACAAAUAGGUCAAUGUUUAUCAGAAUUGAUUUGAUCAACCAUUUAGCCUAGCCACAAGCGAAGUGGGUAAAAAAUGUAGAUCAGUUUAGUGCUUUGCAAAGUCAAUUCCUUUCUAGUCUUACUAUCUAGAGUCAAGAAUUUUAAGUCCUGACAAUGGUAGUUCUUAUUUUAACUUGCCAACAAUGAGAUCAGGCUUGUUUAGAUGCUAUAUAUUGCAUGUUUACUUUUAAA